rnacentral:rRNA from 1 species
UACAGAGGUCUCAAGCGUUGUUCAGAUUCAUUGGGCGUAAAGGGUGCGUAGGCGGCGCGGUAAGUCGGGUGUGAAAUCUCGGAGCUUAACUCCGAAACUGCAUUCGAUACUGCGGUGCUUGAGGACUGGAGAGGAGACUGGAAUUCAUGGUGUAGCAGUGAAAUGCGUAGAGAUCAUGAGGAAGACCAGUGGCGAAGGCGGGUCUCUGGACAGUUCCUGACACUGAGGCACGAAGGCCAGGGGAGCAAACGGG